UAAGAGGUUGUAACGUGUUUACAGCUCAAAGAUUUUGUUUUUUGCCUUUUAAAAAUGUAUAUACUUCCUAGCUGUCAAGUUGGUACUUCCUCCGUUCCAAAUUGUAGGUCGUUUUGACUUUUCUAGGUUCAUAGAUAUUAUCAUGCACCUAGACAUACACUAUAUCUAGAUGCAUAAUAAUAUCCAUGAACCUAAAAAAGCUAAAAUGACCUACAAUUUGGAACGGGGGAGUAUAAUCUUACCAAGUUACCAGUUGAUGUUUAGGUAUCGGAAACGAAAUAGAUCUGUAUGACAUAGUGCUAUAUAUUAGACGGGCACAUAUCAGCCAAAUGACAUGCAGAUCAACUGAUGUGGCCUAGAACAACUUAAAAUUGUUUGAGAUGUUCCUAAAUCAUGACAGUGAAAGUUAUAGGAUCAAAUCGUAAAACUCGGAUGCAUAUCACCUUGAUACGUGAUGUGCUGGAAUUUCAAUGAUAUGAUCGAUAUCUUUUGAUUUAAAUGUUGCCUGACUGCACUUACCCUCCAUUCAAUACUUUCCAAAUUUUGUGACAUUCCCUUUUUUGUUUUCACUCAGUUUUGUUUUCUUGCCAAAACUUAAUUCAUCGUGAACAAUGUGCUGGCCUAUAAUUACUGGUAAUGUUACAAUAAGAUUUCAGCAUGGCAAAACUUGGUUAAUGCUAAACAACCCCCUUUUUUAAACUGCUAUGUUGUAGAAAAGGUUUGUUGUUAUAUGUAAAAAAUAUUUCCUGUUACAAUUAGGUGGUUUCCAAUUAGUGAAGAAAAGGUUUGUUGUGCCUAAUAUAUGCAUCUGGAUAUCUUCUGGAAAGCCACCCUUGUACUGAAUGGAAAUUUUGAAGUUUAAAGGCUCGCAAGCCAUAUAGUUUACGGAAAUUUUGUAGCUUGACCAGCUUUAGCCUCUAUUUGCUUUCAUACACAAAAUUGGUACAAUUCCAUUUUUGCUAAGUUCAUUUUCUUGCUAAUCUUGCUAAAACAUGGAUAAUCUUUUGGAGAUGGUUUGUUGACCUGACCCUUCCAGUUCUGUCCAAAUUUUCACAUUACUGAAAUGGACUGUAAGCAGUUAUUGCUGCUAGUAUUACACUAAGGUUUUAGCAUUUAUACUUGGCCUUGGCUAGUAUUAAACAACCACUUAUUUUGAACUGCUUUUUUCAUGGUACUUUAUUUAGGAAGACAAUGAACUUAGGAGCAAAUGUAAAAAGAAAUCACACCUUUUUUUCUAGUAAUUUUGGCUUCAAUGGACUAAAACCUAUGUAAACCCUGAUUUAAUAAUUCGAAUUCUUAUUGGCAAACUUUAAGUGAUGAUUUUGUUCACCAACCAGACAACCAAUUUUCCUGGAACUUUAUUGGCAUGGUAACAACUUAGUCUGCAAUGUGCUGGAUUAAGUAUAAAAUUAUUGGCCAGAAACACAAAAGGAAUGUAGUUUGUGACAGACAAACCUUUUAAGUAUGAUGUUCUAAUACACAAAAGGAACAUAGUUUGUGACAGGCGGAGCUUUUUAUUUUUGUUUUUUCAUAUAUAUUUUAUUGGAAAGCUGCUACAUGUUUAUUUUCUUAUUCCAAAACUGUCCUUUUCCUAUUUCGGGAUUGCCUAUAGAUAAUGGUCAAAGCAUAAAAGGAGCCCACUUUUUAUAAGUUCUUUUUAAAACUUCUACAUGAUUAUUUUCCUGUUUCAAAAUUGUUUUCUGUUCUUUGUCUGUUGAACCAUGCUUGCUUGGUUUGAUUGUUCUACUUCCACCAUUCAAAUUAUAAGGUGUGCAUCUUGAAAGAUUUUGUUCAUAAGCAUAAGGCUUCUACUUUCCCAUGAAAAAUAUGUGUUGGUUCUUGUAUACCUCAAUAAUUACUGCCCUUACUUUGCAUUGUUUUUAUGCAUACAUUUAAGAUUUGCUCAGAGAUAAUAAUUAGUGGUAAU
rnacentral:lncRNA from 1 species